AUAGAACGCUGGGCGGCGUGCCUAACACAUGCAAGUCGAACGGAGUUGUCACCAUGAAGUUUUCGGAUGGAAUGGAGGCAACUUAGUGGCGGACGGGUGAGUAACGCGUGGGUAACCUGCCUCAUACGUGGGGGAUAACAGCUGGAAACGGCUGCUAAAACCGCAUAAGAUCGCAUCACCGCAUGGUGAAGCGGUUAAAUAUCGAAAGAUAGGUAUGAGAUGGGCCCGCGUCUGAUUAGCUAGUUGGUGAGAUAAGAGCCCACCAAGGCGACGAUCAGUAGCCGGCUUGAGAGAGUGACCGGCCACAUUGGGACUGAGACACGGCCCAAACUCCUACGGGAGGCAGCAGUGGGGAAUAUUGCACAAUGGGGGAAACCCUGAUGCAGCGACGCCGCGUGAGUGAAGAAGUGCUUCGGCAUGUAAAGCUCUAUCAGCAGGGAAGAAGAUGACGGUACCUGACUAAGAAGCCCCGGCUAACUACGUG
rnacentral:rRNA from 1 species